GCAAGCAAGCCAUCCGUCGCUCGUCCGCAGGACGAGAGGAACUUCCCGACUCCCUGCUCUCGGCGCGAGUCGAGGGCAAGGUUGCCUCACGAAACAGCAAGUGAGGGCGCCGCGCUCGGCGCGGCGACGACAACUGCAACAGAAAGCAAACCAACCCCCACCCAACCCUCCCCCGUCGGAAAAUCACCGACAGGGGAGGGGGAAGAUGGGGGUGAUGGCUGAAACGGCAGGGUAAGAGCCUGCCAGCGUCGCAGGUGACUGCGGCGGCUGGGUGAAUGUCCAACUGGGAGCAAGGCGGGUGGGAGCGGCUCGCGCAAGCGGGUUGCUUCCCGUCGCAGCGGCGAUGCUGAGGCAGAGUAACACUCUGCAACGCAAUCGCAGCCGGUGGAUCGAAGGAUUUGCCGAGACAGAUGACGGACUGGACAGAAUCGGGAGUAUCGCUUGCUUGCCACU
rnacentral:RNase_P_RNA from 1 species